rnacentral:rRNA from 1 species
CUACGGGCUGCAGCAGUGGGGAAUUUUGCGCAAUGGGGGAAACCCUGACGCAGCGAUACCGCGUGAGUGAAGAAGGCCUUUGGGUCGUAAAGCUCUUUUCUAAGGGAAGAUAGUGACGGUACCUUAGGAAUAAGCGUCGGCUAACUCCGUGCCAGCAGCCGCGGUAAUACGGAGGGCGCGAGCGUUGUUCGGAUUUACUGGGCGUAAAGGGCGCGUAGGCGGCCUGGCAAGUUAAGGGUGAAAUCCCGGGGCUUAACCCCGGAACUGCUCUUAAAACUGCCAAGCUAGAGAUGGUCAGAGGCGGGUGGAAUUCUAGGUGUAGAGGUGAAAUUCGUAGAUAUCUGGAGGAACACCGGUGGCGAAGGCGGCCCGCUGGGGCCAUUCUGACGCUGAGGCGCGAAAGCGUGGGGAGCGAACGGGAUUAGAUACCCGGGUAGUC